AAGCAAGAAGCAAUUCAUGCAUUUAGUUUCGACCUAAAAGAAAGAUAAAUAAAUUUAUCCCUGCUUU
rnacentral:tRNA from 1 species